GAUGAAGAACGCAGCGAAAUGCGAUAAGUAGUGUGAAUUGCAGAAUUCAGUGAAUCAUCGAAUAUUUGAACGCACAUUGCGCCCCUUGGUAUUCCAUGGGGCAUGCCUGUUCGAGCGUCAUUUGUACCCUCCAGCCCUGCUGGGUGUUGGGCGUUUGUUCCGCCGCGCGCGUGAACUCGCCUCAAAUGCAUUGGCAGCCAGCCGUCCCGCGUGGGAGCGCAGCACAUUUUGCGCUCUCAGCUGGGUGCGGCGGCGUCCACAAGCCUAUACCUUUACGCUUGACCUCGGAUCAGGUAGGGAUACCAGCUGAACUUAAGCAUAUCAAUAAGCGGAAGA
rnacentral:misc_RNA from 1 species